rnacentral:rRNA from 1 species
UACGUAUGGUGCAAGCGUUAUCCGGAUUUACUGGGUGUAAAGGGAGCGUAGGCGGCGCGUUAAGUCUGAUGUGAAAACCCGAGGCUCAACCACGGGAGUGCAUUGGAAACUGGCGGGCUGGAGUGCCGGAGAGGUAAGCGGAAUUCCUAGUGUAGCGGUGAAAUGCGAAGAUAUUAGGAGGAACACCAGUGGCGAAGGCGGCUUACUGGACGGCAACUGACGCUGAGGCUCGAAAGCGUGGGGAGCAAACAGG